rnacentral:rRNA from 1 species
AUUGAACGCUGGCGGCAUGCUUUACACAUGCAAGUCGAACGGCAGCGCGGGCUUCGGCCUGGCGGCGAGUGGCGAACGGGUGAGUAAUGCAUCGGAACGUGCCCAGUAGUGGGGGAUAGCCCGGCGAAAGCCGGAUUAAUACCGCAUACGACCUGAGGGUGAAAGCGGGGGACCGAAAGGCCUCGCGCUAUUGGAGCGGCCGAUGUCGGAUUAGCUAGUUGGUGGGGUAAAGGCUUACCAAGGCGACGAUCCGUAGCUGGUCUGAGAAGACGACCAGCCACACUGGGACUGAGACACGGCCCAGACUCCUACGGGAGGCAGCAGUGGGGAAUUUUGGACAAUGGGGGCAACCCUGAUCCAGCCAUGCCGCGUGCGGGAAGAAGGCCUGCGGGUUGUAAACCGCUUUUGUUCGGGAAGAAAUCCUCUGGGCUAAUACCCCGGGGGGAUGACGGUACCGGAAGAAUAAGCACCGGCUAACUAC